UACAGAGGAGCCAAGCGUUGUCCGGAUUGACUGGGCGUAAAGCGCACGCAGGCGGUUGCGCGCGUGGGGUGGGAAAUCUGGCCGCUUAACGGCCAGGCGCCAUCCCAUACGGCGCGACUGGAGUGAUGCAGAGGUCGAUGGAAUUGCCGGUGUAGUGGUGAAAUGCGUAGAGAUCGGCAGGAACACCCAGGGGGAAACCAGUCGACUGGGCAUCUACUGACGCUGAGGUGCGAGAGCGUGGGGAGCAAACAGG
rnacentral:rRNA from 1 species